AUGCCCAGGAUGCACAACCUAGUGAGAUGGAAAAGAUUUAAGCAAAGUUCACUUCAGAUCAUUCACCAUAAACACGUCAUAUUCAAAGUCUCGCCUGAGAUGCUCUCCCCGCCGCGCCAGAAAUCGCGUAUGGCAGCGGCAAAGGGCCAUAACUAAUUUGGUAGGGUGACCUUGGCUUGCAAAAUGCAUCAUCAAAGCAUGGCACACAAAAUGGGCAUGUCAUGGAAGUAUGGCACCUAAAUAAGAAGAUGUUUGAAGUCCUUGAAGCAAAAUGAGGUGGCUUAUGAAUUAAGAAAUUAUGGAUACGGAUUAGAAAUAGUGGUUGACUUUGGUCAUCUGGUUGAUCAAAAAGUUAAUAGUUGACUAAAAAUCAACCUUAGGUCAAUUUUUGUUACGACCUUUUUCAGAAUGGUUUGAGUGAGUUUGGAUGGAAUUCAACGACAAAUAUGUGGAAUGUUGAAGAUGAAGUUUGAAGCAAA